GGGGAAUUUUGGACAAUGGGGGCAACCCUGAUCCAGCCAUGCCGCGUGAGUGUAGAAGGCCUUCGGGUUGUAAAGCUCUUUCGGACGGAAAGAAAUCGCCGCCUCUAACAUAGGCGGUGGAUGACGGUACCGUAAGAAGAAGCACCGGCUAACUACGUGCCAGCAGCCGCGGUAAUACGUAGGGUGCGAGCGUUAAUCGGAAUUACUGGGCGUAAAGCGUGCGCAGGCGGUUUGGUAAGACAGGUGUGAAAUCCCCGGGCUUAACCUGGGAGCUGCGCUUGGGACUGUCAGGCGAGAGUACGGCGGAGGGGGGUGGAAUUCCACGUGUAGCAGUGAAAUGCGUAGAGAUGUGGAGGAACACCGAGGGCGAAGGCAGCCCCCUGGGCCUGUACUGACGCUCAUGCACGAAAGCGUGGCGAGCAAACA
rnacentral:rRNA from 1 species